rnacentral:lncRNA from 1 species
GGGAUUAUAUAUAUAUCACUACAACAAAAACGGUCUAUAGUGACAUUUUUAAAUAUCGGUAUAGGUCAAAAAAAGUACUACUAGCUAAAUUACCGACACUUUUGAAAAGUGUUGCUAUAUGUGGAGUCGCUAGGUAUAUAGUGACAAUUAAAUGAUGUCGCUAUAACCUCAAAAGAGUGUUGCUAAUUUACCAACACUUAUUUAAGUAUUUAGCAACCGCCAGAACUCUAUCUCGUUGGCUCCGGUGGCGGAGGAGGAGGAGAGGGGAGGGCUAUUCGUCUAGGAUGUCAGUGGAUUGAGUGAGGGAAGAAUAGGAGAUGGUAAUCGAUUUUUCUUUUUUUUUUCUUUUCUGCUUGUAAUCGGGUCGAAUGGGCUGGGUGGGGUGGGUUGAGUAGAGUAACCUUUUAUUUUUAGUUUGAUUGGGCUUUAUAUUUAGACAUUAGUAGAUUUUUUAAAAAAAUUUUGGCAUAAAUGGGACACUUACACAAAAGUGUCACAAACAUGUGUCCCUAUAACCUAAUUUUGUUGUAGUGUAUAUAUAGUAGGUCUUGUGUGUUAUUAGGAGUAUGGAGGCUUCUGUGCUACUAAGCCGUUUUCGAUGAUGGAGCUUCCGAAUCGACGAUCAGCUUCGUUAGAUUUGAUCUAGCGUAUUUGAAGUAUCUAGAAAAUAAAUUGUGGUUUUUCGAUAUUAUUUACCUAGUGAUCGAAAGGGUUCAAAAUCAACAAUUUUUAAUGAUUGAUGUAUAUCAUUUACAAGUUUAACAAUGUAAAAGUAAUUAAAUCAUAUGAAAUUUUGAUAGAAAAUUCUUUAUACUAUAUACUUCAAGAUCAAUAUCUCUGAUCGAAAAUUUUAAAGUUAUAUCACCACUUUUUAUAAGAAUUUUAUUUUUUAGCCGUUGAUUUUAAACCCUUUCAAUUGCAAGGUAAAUGAUAUCGAAAAACCGCAAAAUUUAUUUUCUAAAUACUUACGCUAGAUUAAGUUUAACGGAGCUGAUUGUCGAUUCAGAAGCUCCAUUAUCGAAAACGGCUUAAGAACAUGAAGGUUUCCGUGCUCCUAAGAGCACACAAGACCUACUAUAUAUAUAUAUAUAUAUAUAUAUAUAUAUAUAUAUAUAUAGUCCAGCUAUGGUGCUUGUAAAAGCACCAAGCAUUUAGUGCUUGUAAGUUUUUUACCGUUAGAUCUAUUUCUCGGAUCAUUUUCAACCAUUAGAUUAUACUAUUCAACCAACCACCCACUCAACCCUAGGGGGCCCACAUCAUCCUAACCGUAUAUUUCUUAAUCCAAUGGCUAAAAAUUUACAAGCACCAAUAACUUGGUACUUUUAAAAGUAUAGGAGCUCAAUUCUAUAUAUAUAUAUAUAUAGAGAGAGAGAGAGAGAGAGAGUUAGGUUGGAAUACUAUUGAUAAUACAAAGCGCUUGGUGCUAUUAGGUUUUUGACCCUUUAAUGAAAAAAUGUACGGUUACGAUGAUGUGGGCGCCAUAGGGUUGAGUGGGUUAUUGAUUGAAUAGUAUAAUCUAACGGAUAAAAAUAAUCAAAAGGUUAAAUCUAACGGCAGAAAACUUCGUAGUACCAAACGCUUGGUGUUAUCAAUAGUAUUCCAGCCGGACUAUAUAGAUAUAUCUCUCUCAUAUAUAUAUAUAUAUAGAGAGAGAGAGAGAGAGAGAGAGAGAGAGAGAGUAGGUUUUGUGUGCUAUUAGAAGCUCGGAGGCCUUCGUGCUCCUAGACCGUUUUCGAUUAUAAGACUUUCAAAUAUACGAUCGGUUCCGUUAGACUUGAUCUAGCGCAUUUGAAGUAUUUAGAAAAUAAAUUUUGUAAUUUUUUGUUGAAACUUUAGUACUAUAUAUAUAGAAUAGGUCUUGUGUGCUGUUAGGAGUACGAAGGCCUCCAUACUCCUAAGCCGUUUUCGAUGAUGUUGCUUUCGAAUUAACGAUCGGCUCCAUUAGACUUGAUCUAGCAUAUUUGAAGUAUUUAGAAAAUAAAUUUUAUGAUUUUUCGAAGGUUUAAAAUCAAUAGCUGAAAAUAAAAAUAUCACAAAAAAUAGUGUUAUAGCACUAAAAUAUUUUAAUCAGGGAUAUUGAUCUUGCACUAAAUGGUAUAAAGGAUUUUCUAUCAAAAUAUUAUCUGAUUUGAAUAUUUUUAUACCGUUAAACUUGCAAACGAUAUACAUCAAUCAUUAAAAAUUGUUGAUUUUGAAUCCAUUCGAUCGCUAGGUAAAUAAUAUCGAAAAAUUGCAAAAUUUACUAUCUAGAUACUUCAAAUACGUUAAAUCAAAUCUAACGGAGUCGAUCAUUAAUUUGGAAACAUUAUCAUCAAAAACCGCUUAGAAGCACGGAGGCCUCCGUGUUUCUAAUAACACACAAGAUCGUACUCUCUCUCUCUCUCUCUCUCUCUCUCUCUCUCUCUAUAUAU